UCUGUAUGUUUCAAAAUAAAAGAAGAUUAAACAAAAGAAAUCGUAGCUAAAAAAAAAAGACCGCAUAGCAUCUCUGGCGCUGCCUCGGCGGCCGGCGCCGUGGUCACCGGAGCCUCCGCCAUCGGCAUCCCACGCCGGAGCUGCCGCAGCCAACAACGUACCACUCUGCAACUGCUGACUCCGCCACCGCCGUCGACGUUCCACGACGCGCCUCUUGUUCUCUCGUCCCCGAUCUCGGGGUGGAACUGCAGCUGGCGCAGUGAAGGAGAGGGGAGAGUAAGCCGAUCUUGUUCCAGGCCACGCUCGCAUUAGCGGUCGUCCUCCCACCUCCCCACGUCAGACACCCCAAGUUCUGUUGCUACUGAUCGAGACUACGUUGCACACAAGGUGUUUGAGACAGAGGCUAAGAUAGUUUGAUGACAAAGAGAAGUAUUGGUUCAGAUGAAGACCUGCGUCUGCAUAGAACAAUGGUGAAACGAAAGAAACAAGGGCUUCAACUGACCAACCUGCCAACGGAUAUUCUCUGCAGUAUCCUGUCACAAUUGCCGAUAAAAGAAGCUGUACGGACGAGCAUACUGUCAGAACAGUGGAAAUGUCUUUGGCAUCACCACCCAAAUCUAGUAUUUACUCUUAGCUCGAUGUUGCCAAUUCCUCGUACCUUACCGUUAACACCCAAUGAUGAUGAGCCAAGGAAACAUGAGUUUAUUCAGAGAGUCGAUGCAGUCCUACAGCAGCACAGUGGUGUGGGGGUUGAGAACGUUCAGUUUCGGGCUCCAUUUGAAGAUGACCAAAGGGAUCAGAUAAAUAGAUUGGUGAACUUUGCUAUUGCAUCCAAGGCGAAACAGCUUAUAUUUGAUUUCUUAACUGCCAGCCCUAUGAGGCCACCAUAUAACUUCGAUUUGCGGCUUCUCGAUGACAGUAAUAGUUUACACUUGCGAUAUGUAAAACUCUGUUCCGUUUCUCUCAAGGUGCCUGCGGAUUUCAACGGUUUUCAGAACCUUAAAUGGAUUUGCUUGGCAGGCACGAAUAUUACCGAUGAUGACCUUCAACUUUUAGUGUCCAGCUGCUGUGUUUUGGAGUUACUUGGAAUUGCUAGCUGUAGAAUGCUUACAAGGGUACAGCUAUCUCAUCCUUCAAAUCCACUGAAGCAUUUGCACGUACAUGACUGUCGCUUGCUUCAGGCGAUGGAGUUAAACUUUGGUCUGGUAGAACUUGAGUACAGUGGCCCAUCGAUACUGUUGUCAGCUCCUGGAACUUUGCUUCUCAAAAAUAUGUGCAUCGAGUUGAAUGAUAUGUGUCCUUCUCUGGAAUACAUCUCUACGAAACUUGAUAAUAACGUGCCUCGUCUUGAGAUGCUGACUCUUCAUUGCACCGAGUCAGAAGAGGACUUCGUUGCCAGGAAAGCUGCACAAAUUUUCUUAUCUAAAGCACCUGAGACUGGAGCUGACUUUUUUGGGUGCUCCGAGAAGCAAGAGUGAUAUCCUUGAUUUCGCCUGCCUUCUAAUUGCUGCUCCUUUCCUGGAAAAGCUGGAAUUUCACAUGGUGCUGCGCUGCGAGCAUCCAAGGUACACCACCGACCAGGGAGACCUACGGAGCCUUCCCUCAGAGCCUCACCUGCAUCUCAGGCUGGUCGAAAUCACAGGGUUUUACGGCUGGAAAGGCCAGCUGGAGCUGGCGCUUCACAUCGUGAGGAACUCUGUCGCGCUCGAGGCGAUGAAGAUAGAUCCGAUCCCAGCCCCUGCAGUAGUUGGUUCCGAUUUUAGGCUGCUAGGAUGCCCGGAGUUCACUUCCUUUUCGGAUGGCUACGAGGCCGCCCUUGAGUUCCUCUGCAGCGCCGACCAUCGCCAUGUUGUUCAUGUCCUGGAACCUUGAGCUCAAGGAAGUCCCGGAGAAAAAUGUAUCUCUCUCACACACACCCCGCAACUUCCUCCAGACCAGCGUGGUGCCAUGCUAGCAGGCAAGAUGGCGAGCAGACAUAAAUCACUCAAGGAAGACAAGAUAAGGCAUGGCAUGGCUUGCCACUUGCUGUUGAUAAAGAGGUGUGUGCCCUGUUCACUGCAUCCACCACCAUUCAUAUCUGGCAUGAUAGAGUUGAGGGCAAUGCGGCCAUGAUGAUUUUCCCUUAUCUGUUCAGAUACAGCACACGAUGCGCCCAUGAUGAAUAAUUUGUAGGGACCCAACUAAUCAGGCUAAGGCGAUGAUGGGACUGGGUAUUCCGGCCUGUACUUAGUUAAUUUUGCUCCUUCUCACCGCAGCUAAUGUACUCGACGCAUGUUCGCGUGCGUUCAUGUAUCACAUGUACUAAGGGUUGGAGACGCGCUUUGCUGCGCCGUUGGUGUUGUUUGGUUUCUUAAAAAAAACACUCCGCUUUGAAAUAUAUGGUGUAUUACUUUUUAAAAAGUCAAACCUUUUAAGUUUGAACAAAUUUGUAGAGAAAUAUAUAGGGAUUCAUAAUAUCAUCUCGGUAU